AUUGAACGCUGGCGGCAGGCUUAACACAUGCAAGUCGAGCGAGCGGCGGACGGGUGAGUAAUGUCUGGGAAACUGCCUGAUGGAGGGGGAUAACUACUGGAAACGGUAGCUAAUACCGCAUACCAUCAGAUGUGCCCAGAUGGGAUUAGCUAGUAGGGGGGGUAAUGGCUCACCUAGGCGACGAUCCCUAGCUGGUCUGAGAGGAUGACCAGACACACUUGAACGGAGAUACGGUGCAGACUCCUACGGGAGGCAGCAGUGGGGAAUAUGGCAGAACGGGCGCAAGCGUGAUGCAGCCAUGCCGCGUGUGUGAAGAAGGCCUUCGGGUUGUAAAGUACUUUCAGCGAGGAGGCGUUACUCGCAGAAGAAGCACCGGCUAACUCCGUGCCAGCAGCGGCGGUAAUAC
rnacentral:rRNA from 1 species